rnacentral:rRNA from 1 species
CCGAUGAGGUGGAAACGGACAGAGCUGGCGAUAUCUGGCCUGCAUUCAGCCGCUGCGCGACGGGCCCCGGAUUUGCCGCACUCCAGAUUGGGAAGGUGGCUGGGCUGCUGGCGUGCUGGUGGUGCAUUUGCAGGUGGAGUGCGCUGAGGCGCUCGGCUCGGCGGCAUGAGCUCGGCUUUGAGGCCAACCGCGCAAGCGGUCUGGUACCCGGGUCGGGGGAGUGUUGUUCGGGCUGAGUGUUCGCUUGGGCACUGGCAUCGGGCUCGGGUGGGUGCCGAGCUGGCGGUCNACGGCGGUCGCAUGCGACACGUGUCAGCAGUCAGUUCGGUCCUGCUCGAGCUCUCAUGUGUCCGGCCUCGGUGUAAAAGCCGGUCAUCUGUCCGACCCGUCUUGAAACACGGACCAAGGAGUUUAGCGUGUGCGCGAGUCAUUGGGCGUCGAAAACCCAAAGGCGCAAUGAAAGUGAAGGUCUGCCUUGUGCAGCUGAUGUGUGAUCCUGGGCGCUGCGGUGCCCGGGCGCAACAUAGUCCCGUCCCGACUGCAUGCAGUGGGGCGGAGACAGAGCGUACGCGCUGAG